UACGGAGGGUGCAAGCGUUAUCCGGAUUCACUGGGUUUAAAGGGUGCGUAGGAGGGCAGGUAAGUCAGUGGUGAAAUCUUUGGGCUUAACCCGAAACUGCCGUUGAUACUAUCUGUCUUGAAUAUGGUGGAGGUGAGCGGAAUAUGUCAUGUAGCGGUGAAAUGCUUAGAUAUGACAUAGAACACCGAUUGCGAAGGCAGCUCGCUACACCUAUAUUGACUCUGAGGCACGAAAGCGUGGGGAUCAAACAGG
rnacentral:rRNA from 1 species